rnacentral:rRNA from 1 species
AGGGCGCACGGUGGAUGCCUUGGCACUAGGAGCCGAUGAAGGACGUGACUAACGACGAAAUGCUUUGGGGAGCUGUAAGUGAGCAAUGAUCCAGAGAUGUCCGAAUGGGGGAACCCGGCAGGUAAUGCCUGUCACUCAUUACUGUUAAGGUAAUGUAGAGGAAGACGCAGUGAACUGAAACAUCUAAGUAGCUGCAGGAAGAGAAAGCAAAAGCGAUUGCCUUAGUAGCGGCGAGCGAAACGGCAGGAGGGCAAACCGAAGAGUUUACUCUUCGGGGUUGUAGGACUGCAACGUGGACUUAAAGAUUAUAGAAGAACUACCUGGGAAGGUAGGCCAAAGAGAGUAAUAGCCUCGUAUUCGAAAUAGUCUUUAUACCUAGCAGUAUCCUGAGUACGGCGAGACACGAGAAAUCUCGUCGGAAUCUGGGAGGACCAUCUCCCAACCCUAAAUACUCUCUAGUGACCGAUAGUGAACCAGUACCGUGAGGGAAAGGUGAAAAGCACCCCGGGAGGGGAGUGAAAUAGAACCUGAAACCGUGUGCCUACAACAAGUUCGAGCCCGUUAAUGGGUGAGAGCGUGCCUUUUGUAGAAUGAACCGGCGAGUUACGAUAUGAUGCGAGGUUAAGUUGAAGAGACGGAGCCGUAGGGAAACCGAGUCUGAAUAGGGCGCAUUAGUAUUAUGUCGUAGACCCGAAACCAUGUGACCUACCCAUGAGCAGGUUGAAGGUGAGGUAAAACUCACUGGAGGACCGAACCAGGGCACGUUGAAAAGUGCUUGGAUGACUUGUGGGUAGCGGAGAAAUUCCAAACGAACUUGGAGAUAGCUGGUUCUCUCCGAAAUAGCUUUAGGGCUAGCGUCGAUGUUAAGUCUCUUGGAGGUAGAGCACUGUUUGGGUGAGGGGUCCAUCCCGGAUUACCAAUCUCAGAUAAACUCCGAAUGCCAAUGAAUUAUGGUCGGCAGUCAGACUGCGAGUGCUAAGAUCCGUAGUCGAAAGGGAAACAGCCCAGACCACCAGCUAAGGUCCCAAAAUAAUUGUUAAGUGGAAAAGGAUGUGGGGUUGCACAGACAACUAGGAUGUUAGCUUAGAAGCAGCUAUUCAUUCAAAGAGUGCGUAAUAGCUCACUAGUCGAGUGACCCUGCGCCGAAAAUGUACCGGGGCUAAAACAAUUUACCGAAGCUGUGGAUACCUUUAUAGGUAUGGUAGGAGAGCGUUCUAUGUGCGAAGAAGGUGUACCGUGAGGAGUGCUGGAGCGCAUAGAAGUGAGAAUGCCGGUAUGAGUAGCGAAAGACAGGUGAGAAUCCUGUCCACCGUAAGACUAAGGUUUCCAGGGGAAGGCUCGUCCGCCCUGGGUUAGUCGGGACCUAAGGAGAGACCGAAAGGUGUAUCCGAUGGACAACAGGUUGAUAUUCCUGUACUAGAGUAUAUAGUGAUGGAGGGACGCAGUAGGCUAACUAAACCAGACGAUUGGAAGUGUCUGGCCAAGCAGUGAGGUGUGAUAUGAGUCAAAUGCUUAUAUCUAUAACAUUGAGCUGUGAUGGGGAGCGAAGUUUAGUAGCGAAGUUAGUGACGUCACACUGCCAAGAAAAGCUUCUAGCGUUUAAACAUACUCUACCCGUACCGCAAACCGACACAGGUAGUCGAGGCGAGUAGCCUCAGGUGAGCGAGAGAACUCUCGUUAAGGAACUCGGCAAAAUGACCCCGUAACUUCGGGAGAAGGGGUGCUGACUUUACGUCAGCCGCAGUGAAUAGGCCCAAGCAACUGUUUAUCAAAAACACAGCUCUCUGCUAAAUCGUAAGAUGAUGUAUAGGGGGUGACGCCUGCCCGGUGCUGGAAGGUUAAGAGGAGUGCUUAGACGUAAGUCGAAGGUAUGAAUUGAAGCCCCAGUAAACGGCGGCCGUAACUAUAACGGUCCUAAGGUAGCGAAAUUCCUUGUCGGGUAAGUUCCGACCCGCACGAAAGGCGUAAUGAUUUGGGCACUGUCUCAACGAGAGACUCGGUGAAAUUUUAGUACCUGUGAAGAUGCAGGUUACCCGCGACAGGACGGAAAGACCCCAUGGAGCUUUACUGCAGUUUGAUAUUGAGUAUCUGUACCACAUGUACAGGAUAGGUAGGAGCCUAUGACCUCGGGACGCCAGUUUCGAGUGAGGCGUUGUUGGGAUACUACCCUUGUGUUAUGGCUACUCUAACCCAGAUAGGUUAUCCCUAUCGGAGACAGUGUCUGACGGGCAGUUUGACUGGGGCGGUCGCCUCCUAAAAGGUAACGGAGGCGCCCAAAGGUUCCCUCAGAAUGGUUGGAAAUCAUUCGCAGAGUGUAAAGGUAUAAGGGAGCUUGACUGCGAGAGCUACAACUCGAGCAGGGACGAAAGUCGGGCUUAGUGAUCCGGUGGUUCCGCAUGGAAGGGCCAUCGCUCAACGGAUAAAAGCUACCCUGGGGAUAACAGGCU